UUAAGUAAGAAUGAAGAAAACGAGAGGUGAUGCUAUUGCUAACUCUCUGAAGUGAGGACUGAAUGAAGCUUGAUGACUUACAAAGGCUCUUAUAUCUGCCCAGUAUGUAACACUCUGCAAAUUUAACUGUCCAUGCUGUCUCCAGACAAGAAACUGAUGAAAAAUGAAGUGUAUCGCACAAACUGCUGUGAUGUCUAAACCCGUCCUUUUCAAAAAAACAAACAAGAAAGAGUAAAGAGUAGGAACUAGUUUAACAAUUCAAGCUACACUCUUUCUAUUGAAAAGCCUGGUUAAAGAAUUGAAAAGCUGGCCAUGAUCCAACAACUUCCGUGGUUCUAAAUUAAAAAAAAGAAAGUCCUCCCCAACCUGAAGCAUAGAUAAACAUGCUUGGAGAUGUCUGCGAGAAUACUUGAGUGUUAUUCUGACAGUGUAAAAAAACAAGGAAAUACUUCUGUGGAAUUCUCAGAGAGACUGUGACCAGUGAAGUCAGAAGAGCCCAUAAAAACAGGUGGAUGAUAAAGGCUUCAAUCCAUGGUGAACUAGUCAAGUUGCCUUGAUGAGUGCUGUAUAGAUUAGCAAACCAGAAGAGUGUCAGAGGAACUGUGCUCUGUAGGUACAUAAAACACAGCUGCACAUCAGCUGGCAGUUGCAGACAGACUUGCAGCCUAGAAAAUCAACCAUCACCUGGGCUGCAUCAAAAGCAGCGUGGUGAGCAGGUCAAGAACAGUGAUUCUGCCCCUUCUCUCUGCUGUAAUGAGACCCCACCUGCAGUGCUGAAUGCAACUCUGGGGUCCCCAGCAGCAGAAGGACACAGACCUGCUGGAACAAUCCCAGAGGAGGCCACCAAGAUGGUAACCUAAAAGGAGAAGAAAAACAAGGAGAUCCGUUGCAAGGAUGACAUAUGCCUCACUGUGUAUAUGAUGACCAAAAUCUGGUUAGAAAGCAGAAAAAUGCGCUGGAGGCUCUAAACAGAAACAUCCCUUCUGGUUUGAGGUUGGUUGAGAGGAAAGAGGAAAACACUGUGUACAUAAACAUACUGAAGUCAGGUCUCCAGGAAACCACACACAGCAAAAGCUUCUAUAGCUUUCUGUCUGUGGCAUCAUCUCUCCUAGAUAUACCAACAUAGCAUGAAAUUAUCUUUCACAAGUAGAGCAACUGGUUAUUGUGAGAAGUGUGGUGAAAGCAGUGUGAAACAAACACCAGAGAAGAAAGGGAAAUUGCAAGAGGGUCAGGAAAAGCAUUCAAAUUAGACAUGUGGUUUUAUUUGGGCCUUGGCAUGAUGGGAAGUACUGCUGUGGUAUGGAAGCAAUCCUAUGCUAUGGACAGAAAUAUCACUCAAUUCAGCACUUUUACAAACAGGAAUAGCUCUCAUCUUAUUUCUCCGGUUGACAUGUCAGUAGACUCCCUGACAGCAUCAAGUAUCCCCUUGUGUUACCUCUCCUCCUCUUGCUGCUUCUGCUCUUUCCUGUGCCUGGCAAUCUUGUUCUUGUUCAAUGGGUUUAUUGUUUGGAACAAAAGUCUGCAUAUCCUUGCUGCUUAUAUUUCUGAGUUUUUAUUAAACUGUUUACGUUCUGCUGUAUUGUUGGCCUUAAGAUGUAGAAUUUUCCUAAAGAUAGGUGGGGUAUUUAGAAUUUUUUUUUUCUUUGCAUAUUUAUUGCCCAUAGUGAGGCAAUGGAUAAUUCUGGAUAUGCCAUGGUGGUUAAAUUAUGUAUGUUUUAAUUGUGCAAAUGCUUCGGACAUUUUUAGUGUUUCUGUGCCUAACCAGCUCUUUGUGAAUUUUAUUUGUUAAUGGUGCUAACAAAGACUUGAGACUGGACUUUAUCAUCUAUUUCAGAAAUGCAAUAUAGGUAACAUAAUUAGGCUUCUUGAUAAGGAAUCAAGGUCUGUUUUCAUUUGAAAUAUAUAGGUUAAUUAGCAUGAAAUGUAGAUCAGAGACACUGCACAGCAGUGUUUUUAAAAUUCUGAUGUUCAGAUGUCAAUGUAUUUUUCUAUUGACUGUACCAAUGAACAAAUCAAUGGUGUGUUUUACAAAAUCAGACUUUAAAUCAGUCUGCUACUAGUGUCAAAUCUUUUAGAAAAAGAAUUGAAGCCAGAGUAUUUACCUCAGUGGAGAGCAUUAGUCAUGCAUUAAUGGGCUCCUCUAAAAUUUUGUAUCUGUGUCACACAGUUCCAUUUUUGUCAAAAAGGGCUCUCUGCCUGCCCUCUGUUUGCAAGGAAGGUGUCCUAAAACUAUGACUGCUUCAUGUAUGCCUAUAACUAUUUCUGUUCUGAGGAACAGAAUAGCUCUUAGGGAACUAAGCAGCUUUUGCCUUUGUUGCAUUGACCAUGUUUGUGAGAUGAAAUGGUAGCAGCAUGAGAUAAAAUGCCCUGGGAUAUAGUGAUUUUUUUUUUCAUUAAUUUGAAUUUCAUUAAUAUUGUAUGUGUUCUUUAUUGUAUUGUUACUAUUUAUAGUAAUAAUAUGACAGCAAUAGCUUAUACUAAAUUAUUACAAAACCCUGGGUUAUGAGGGGUCUGCAGCAGCACUUUCUCCAUUGCUUUCCUGAUCACCAGCACAUGACUAAAAGAUUAAAACAAUGUGACAUCUGACAUCCAAAACUAGUGCAGCUGGUGGGGCUUGGAUGAUAAAGCCAUCUUUGAUUGUCUGAGUCUGAGUUUUGAAUUAGGCACUAAGCCAGAAGGAACCUUCUGACUUUGCUAGAAGCCAGGGUGUUUUUUAUCUUGAGUCGGUGGGUGCCAGCCCAAGACUUGCACAUUGGAUAGCUGUGUCCCUGUUACAUUUUGUGUCCCUUUUCACAAUUCAGACUGCUUGGUUCUUCCCAUCCUAUGCAGACUAAUAUGUCAGCUAUUCCUUUGUGCUGUUCCAGAGCUUUACCAAGACUCAGGCUCUGUCAGAGCUGUCUGCAGUCAUUUGUGUGGGAGGUGUGUGAGGAGACUUACGCAUUAACUGUGCUGAAAUAAUUACCGUAUUUGACUUGACUAAUAAGUGGUAUUUUUUGCAAAAAAAAAAAAAGAAAAAAAUUCUGGACAGGGGAUAGAAGAGUAUUUUACUCAUUAAACUCUGUAUUCAGUAAUUCCACGAAGAUGAAAAUAUAAAAUGCUUUGAUGUAAAGAAGCAAUUACUUCUAAAAUAUGUAGGAAGCACUAUUUAUGAAAUAGGCACCAUUUGUUAUGAUUUUUUGUGCAAAGUUUAAACUCAGAAUACUGAAGUCUUUGGAGAAUAAAAUGUUAAGUAAUUCUGCAGUCUAAUUUUUUUUUAGAUGCUGCAGUUUCCCUGUGUUGCCAUGGUAACAUACUUUCUGUAUAAUUGCCAGGCUGCCUUACAGUGAUGCAAAUAAGUAAAGAAGUUGUCACAUGGCAUGACCUAAGCUUAUAUUUGAGUGGUGAUUUACUGCCCACAGAGCAGCAAUAACACCAAAGAUAUCUGU